GCUCUUCAGAUCUCCCAUUUCCUGGUAUGACAGUGAGUUCGGCUACAGCAACAGGGUGGUGGACCUCAUGGUCCACAUGGCCUCCAAGGAGUAAGUGGCCACCCCACCACA